rnacentral:rRNA from 1 species
GACGAACGCUGGCGGCGCGCUUAACACAUGCAAGUCGAACGGUAAAGGCCCAGCUUCCUCGGGCACACGAGUGGCGAACGGGAGAGCUACACGUGGGUGACCUGCCCCGUCCUUCGGGAUAAGCCUGGGCAACUGGGUCUAAUACCGGAUACGAACGCACCGAGUGGGUGUGGUGGAAAGUUUUUCGCUGUGGGAUGGGCGCGGGGCGUAUUAGCUUGUUGGUGGGGUAAUGGCCUACGACGGCGGCGACGGAUCGCUGGCCUGAGAGGGUGGACGGCGACAUUGGGCCUGAGGCACGGCCCAGACUCGAACGGGAGGCAGCAGGGGGGAAUCUGGCACAAUGGGCGGAAGCCUGAUGCAGCGACGCCGCGUGGGGGAUGACGGCCUACGGGUUAUAAACUCCAUUCACCAUCGACGAAGGUUUUCUGACGGUAGAUGGAGAAGAAGCACCGGCUAACUUCGUG